rnacentral:rRNA from 1 species
UGGGGAAUAUUGCACAAUGGGCGCAAGCCUGAUGCAGCCAUGCCGCGUGUAUGAAGAAGGCCUUCGGGUUGUAAAGUACUUUCAGCGGGGAGGAAGGGAGUAAAGUUAAUACCUUUGCUCAUUGACGUUACCCGCAGAAGAAGCACCGGCUAACUCCGUGCCAGCAGCCGCGGUAAUACGGAGGGUGCAAGCGUUAAUCGGAAUUACUGGGCGUAAAGCGCACGCAGGCGGUUUGUUGAGUCAGAUGUGAAAUCCCCGGGCUCAACCUGGGAACUGCAUCUGAUACUGGCAAGCUUGAGUCUCGUAGAGGGGGGUAGAAUUCCAGGUGUAGCGGUGAAAUGCGUAGAGAUCUGGAGGAAUACCGGUGGCGAAGGCGGCCCCCUGGACGAAGACUGACGCUCAGGUGCGAAAGCGUGGGGAGCAAACAGG